UACGUAGGGGGCAAGCGUUGUCCGGAAUCAUUGGGCGUAAAGCGCGUGUAGGCGGCCCGGUAAGUCCGCUGUGAAAGUCCAGGGCUCAACCCUGGAAUGCCGGUGGAUACUGUCGGGCUCGAGUCCGGAAGAGGCGAGUGGAAUUCCUGGUGUAGCGGUGAAAUGCGCAGAUAUCAGGAAGAACACCCGUGGCUAAGGCGGCUCUCUAGUACGGUACUGACGCUGAGACGCGAAAGCGUGGGGAGCGAACAGG
rnacentral:rRNA from 1 species